UUUACUGUUUAGAGGGGCCUUAUACAGAAUAUUUAAUGAACUUUCUUCUACUAAUUCUGUAGGUGGCUUUGUAUGUUGCAGGUGAUGAGUCUGAUGACCAAUCAUGUUACUUUCACUUUUGGUGGAUCAAAAGGCCAUUUUGAACUCAUAAUGUUUCAAGCCAGUGAUUGAUAGCGGCCUUCUUCGUGUAUAAGUUCUGUGAUUACUUGGGGGUGCAUCCCUAUCCUUUGUAAAGAGCUAUAGGAGAGGAGUUCAAGCUUUACCAUGUAAGGCUAUCUAAAUUCCUCCCUGAGAGAAUUCUGUACGGCAAGUCCGCAGCUGUUAAAGAAUGGCCAUAAACGAGGGAUGGCACUGAAGAAAACCGGCUGAAUGGGUUCUCUUGUUCCCUGAUAUCUCCCAACGCAUUUAUGGCGAAGCGAUAGUGGAAAGCGGGGAUAAAAAGCGCGGGUUCCCGCCAUUACUGUCUGCUUCAUCAUCCUUUGUUAUAAAUUGGUUAGUUUUAUCUCUCACUCUCUCAUUAAUGAAAUUAGGUUUUUUUCUUCAACUGUUAACAACCCUUAUGCGCCUGAAAUCCUCUUAAUUACUCGUCAACUCCUCAUAAUUGCCUUCAUAACUGUCCUCAUAACUCUCAACCACCCCUAAUGGUCGCCAAUGACUUGAUUUCCAUGGUGUCUUUAGGCGAGAAUGCCUUAUUCAUGAAGCUAAGUUCAACAACAAACUUUUAUGAAUUGAAAUUUGAUGUGUCCGAAAAAUUGAAAGUAUCUGAAGAAGCUUUAUCCUUGAUAUUUAAAUCUGAGAGGCACUCCAACCUUAGUUUUUCAGUUGACAACGAUGAUGAUUUGAAGUGCAUGUUGGAGCAUAAUCGAAAUAUUGGUUGUACGGAGAUUCACAUGCAAGCUGCUGUUAAUGUAGAGUGUUCCACUUCAAGGAAAAAUCAGAUUAGGGAAAUGUAAGUAAUUAAUGAACUCUUUAUAACAUUGGGCUUUGUAUGAUGUAAACAUUGUUAUUUUUUUCUUCAACUUUCAACCAUCCCAUAUGUGCAUUAAAUCCCUCAAUGUAAGUUAUUACUGAUUUGUAAGUAAACAAUGAACUCUGUCAGGAACAGGGCUAUGUGUGAUGAUAAGCCAAUUGUGAUUUCAGGUUUCAAUGCUAA